rnacentral:rRNA from 1 species
UCGCGUCGUGAGAUGUUGGUUAAGUCCCGCAACGAGCGCAACCCUUGUUCAUUUAGUUGCUACAUUCAGUUGGGCACUCUAAUGAGACUGCCGGUGACAAACCGGAGGAAGGUGGGGAUGACGUCAAGUCCUCAUGGCCCUUAUAGGUGGGGCUACACACGUCAUACAAUGGAUGGUACAAAGGGUCGCCAACCCGCGAGGGGGAGCCAACCCCAUAAAGCCAUUCGUAGUCCGGAUCGCAGUCUGCAACUCGACUGCGUGAAGUCGGAAUCGCUAGUAAUCGUGGAUCAGAAUGUCACGGUGAAUACGUUCCCGGGUCUU